rnacentral:rRNA from 1 species
GCGCACGCUGGCGGCAGGCCUAACCCCUGCCAGUCGAACGAACCUUUCGGGGUUAGUGGCGGACGGGUGAGUAACACGUGGGAACGUGCCUUUAGGUUCGGAAUAACUCAGGGAAACUUGUGCUAAUACCGAAUGUGCCCUUCGGGGGAAAGAUUAAUCGCCUUUAGAGCGGCCCGCGUCUGAUUAGCUAGUUGGUUGAGGUAAUGGCUCACCAAGGCGACGAUCAGUAGCUGGUCUGAGAGGAUGAUCAGCCACAUUGGGACUGAGACACGGCCCAAACUCCUACGGGAGGCAGCAGUGGGGAAUCUUGCGCAAUGGGCGAAAGCCUGACGCAGCCAUGCCGCGUGAAUGAUGAAGGUCUUAGGAUUGUAAAAUUCUUUCACCGGGGACGAUAAUGACGGUACCCGGAGAAGAAGCCCCGGCUAACUUCGUG